rnacentral:rRNA from 1 species
AACGAACGCUGGCGGCAUGCCUAACACAUGCAAGUCGAACGAGACCUUCGGGUCUAGUGGCGCACGGGUGCGUAACGCGUGGGAACCUGCCCUUAGGUUCGGAAUAACUCCCCGAAAGGGGUGCUAAUACCGGAUAAUGUCUUCGGACCAAAGAUUUAUCGCCUUUGGAUGGGCCCGCGUUGGAUUAGCUAGUUGGUAGGGUAAAAGCCUACCAAGGCGACGAUCCAUAGCUGGUCUGAGAGGAUGAUCAGCCACACUGGGACUGAGACACGGCCCAGACUCCUACGGGAGGCAGCAGUGGGGGAUAUUGGACAAUGGGCGAAAGCCUGAUCCAGCAAUGCCGCGUGAGUGAAGAAGGCCUUAGGGUUGUAAAGCUCUUUUACCCGGGAUGAUAAUGACAGUACCGGGAGAAUAAGCUCCGGCUAACUCCGUG